UACGUAGGGGGCAAGCGUUGUCCGGAAUUAUUGGGCGUAAAGAGCGCGUAGGCGGUCCGGUAAGUCGGCUGUGAAAGUCAAGGGCUCAACCCUUGAAAGCCGGCCGAUACUGUCGGACUAGAGUCCGGAAGAGGCGAGUGGAAUUCCCGGUGUAGCGGUGAAAUGCGCAGAUAUCGGGAGGAACACCAAUGGCGAAGGCAGUGUCCUGGCGCGUAACUGACGCUGAGGUGCGAAAGCCAGGGGAGCGAACGGG
rnacentral:rRNA from 1 species